rnacentral:rRNA from 1 species
UAGCAUAUCAAUAAGCGGAGGAAAAGAAACCAACCGGGAUUGCCCUAGUAACGGCGAGUGAAGCGGCAAGAGCUCAAAUUUGAAAGCUGGCCCCUGCGGGGUCCGCAUUGUAAUUUGCAGAGGAUGCUUCGGGAGCGGUCCCCAUCUAAGUGCCCUGGAACGGGCCGUCAUAGAGGGUGAGAAUCCCGUAUGGGAUGGGGUGCCCGCGCCCGUGUGAAGCUCCUUCGACGAGUCGAGUUGUUUGGGAAUGCAGCUCUAAUUGGGUGGUAAAUUUCAUCUAAAGCUAAAUAUUGGCCGGAGACCGAUAGCGCACAAGUAGAGUGAUCGAAAGAUGAAAAGCACUUUGAAAAGAGAGUUAAACAGCACGUGAAAUUGUUGAAAGGGAAGCGCUUGCGAUCAGACUCGCUCCCGGGGUUCAGCCGGCAUUCGUGCCGGUGUACUUCCCCGGGGGCGGGCCAGCGUCGGUUUGGGCGGCCGGUCAAAGGCCCCUGGAAUGUAACGCCUCUCGGGGCGUCUUAUAGCCAGGGGUGCCAUGCGGCCUGCCCGGACCGAGGAACGCGCUUCGGCUCGGACGCUGGCAUAAUGGUCGUAAGCGACCCGUCUUGAAACACGGACCAAGGAGUCUAACAUCUACGCGAGUGUUCGGGUGUCAAACCCGUGCGCGCAGUGAAAGCGAACGGAGGUGGGAACCCCCCGGGGUGCACCAUCGACCGAUCCUGAUGUCUUCGGAUGGAUUUGAGUAAGAGCGUAGCUGUUGGGACCCGAAAGAUGGUGAACUAUGCCUGAAUAGGGCGAAGCCAGAGGAAACUCUGGUGGAGGCUCGCAGCGGUUCUGACGUGCAAAUCGAUCGUCAAAUUUGGGUAUAGGGGCGAAAGACUAAUCGAACCAUCUAGUAGCUGGUUCCUGCGA